rnacentral:tRNA from 1 species
GGGAGCGUCGUCCAAUGGUAGGACAGCAGAUUGUUAAUCUGCCUGGGCUUGGCCCACUCGAUGCAAGUUCGAUUCUUGCCGCUUCCG